rnacentral:rRNA from 1 species
UAUUCCUACGGGAGGCAGCAGUGAGGAAUAUUGGUCAAUGGGCGGGAGCCUGAACCAGCCAAGUCGCGUGAGGGAAGACGGUCCUAUGGAUUGUAAACUUCUUUUGUCGGGGAGCAAAGAGACCACGUGUGGUCAAAAGCGAGAGUACCCGAAGAAAAAGCACCGGCUAACUCCGUGCCAGCAGCCGCGGUAAUACGGAGGAUGCGAGCGUUAUCCGGAUUUAUUGGGUUUAAAGGGUGCGUAGGCGGGUCGGGAAGUCAGCGGUAAAAAUGCGGGGCCCAACCCCGUCGAGCAGUUGAACCUGG